GAUAAGCAAACAGAAAACUUGAUCAGCCCUGAGGCUCAGGGCAGAGAAUCCAGCUUCUUCCAGUCAUCAGUCCCCUGGGCAAGAGGGGUUGAAGCAUAGACUGUCAUGAUGAGCUUGUAUGCUCCUGGGUAACCAUAUCCCAACCUAGCAAUUAUGUCAAGGUAAAGAAGCCCAGACACUGGUAAAAGACCCAGAAGUUUCUAUUCUGGGUGACUUUUAGGAUGACAAUGAGAAGAUGAAACAAAUCUCGGCACUGUGGCAGGAGCAGUAUGAGUGUGGAGGCAGCUUGAGGCACAGCCAGAUGUGGUCCAUACAUUUUUAUUCCAACCUGGACGUAGAUAGCCUUAUUUGGAGAAAGCAGAACUUUUGCUGCAAAUGUGUGUAUACAUCUGACACACACUUCAGAAUUUUUAUCUUUUAAAACAACACCCUACAUAUUUUCCAGAUGGAAACUAAAGAGACAGAAGACAGAGACCAUCCAUGGGUGCUGUCAUCCUGAACAAAUGAGGCAGAAGGAAAUAACUGGCUUGAUCAUGUCAGGCAGUGAGUAAUGCUGAUGUCAGACACUGGCUCUGAAAGAUGCUGAAAUUAUAGGCACUGCAAGACAUCCAGCUUUAACCGUCUUGACCAAAGUCACAAUUCUGCAUGAACAGCAGAACCAGAAAUAUAAUCAGUCACCUGAUGUUCUGCAGUUGCCUUUGGAUAUUUUCAGAGACACGAAGUGAUGACCAAGCUGUGAGUCUUCUCCCGUGACACUGAAUCCAUAUUGCCUCCUCCCUACCAAAUGAUGGCUUUCAACUCUCCCCAGUUCCAAGUUGCACAGGAAACCUGUAAUGGGAUUGCAUCACAUUUGAAUUUACCUUUUGAAAUGCAGCCCUCGGGCAGUCUCUGCAUUCCUCUAGCUGAGCAGAGAUAUGGGUGAAACAAGUUCUUGAUUUAGCUGCCAAUAAGUGUCUAAAGCACUUCAUGACUGACAGUCUGCAGAGGAGCAGCAGGAUCCCAUAGGAGCUAACAAGGGGAUGCUGUUAAAUCAGCCUCCCAGCCUAGGGUAGGAUUGUUCCAGAAGCAAAGGAAAGAGAAGAACAUGACAAAGUCCUUGCUGUGUCCCUGACUUCCAGCACACUCUUAUCCCAGGUGGGGAAAAGUCAGUGUGCCCUGCAGAUGGUGAAGGAUCCACCUCCACCUCCAUCCCAGAGCCUCAGGCACCCUCUGGCACCUCCCAUCUCUCUCCCCCAGUAGAGGGGAAGGAAAUUAGACAAGACGCUGUGAGCUGCAGACAGAAGGAAAGAAGAGGUGAUGUGAGAGUUCACUUUUCCUGCCAUUUCUAGACAAGAGAGGACAGCCUCUCCAGGUAGCUGUUCUCAUAAGUGAUGCUGUCUGGACAGGCUAAAUGAUGGCAUGUUGAAAUUUCAUAUGAAGCAGAAUGAUUUCCAUAUCUGCAGAUCCUCUUCAGUGGCAUUAGUUAUGCUAAUAAAGUGGUGCGACUUUUCUGGCAGUGCUUGAGGCGGCUGCCAGGCUGUGACUGAAGACUCUAUCUGGGGAAAUAACUCAGCAAGUAAAAUUCAGAUGGCCGACAACAUGCUCGGGUUCCUGCUCCUCAUCCAGAGCUGUGCAUGAGCUCUAUUGUUGAGCGCAUAAUAAACUGUGCCUAACUCAGACACAACCCCGCUGGCAUCUCAGACAUUACUUUGCAAAGCUCUUCAGGACACCCCCAGUGCUUGCUUAAUUUAUGUGCUGAUAGGCAUUUCCAUGACAUUCAUUGCCAGCGUGCAGAAAAGGCUGGCAAAGUUAUUAGGGGAGGCAAGAGGAAAACAAAAGAGAGAGUCGGUUCGCACAUUGCGCCAGAUGAGCCCACCAGCUGCUGGAGGAAGAGGCAUGUGCCACUCCAGCAGCAAAAGGAGGCAGGGAGAAUGCAAGAUGAAGCUGGAUGUGAGACUGCACCCUUUCUUUGCACAGCACUGGGGUCCAGAGCCAAGCUGGGUGGAGAUACAGAAUUCAAAUUCUAACCCCUGUCCCCAAGGAAAGCCCCUGGAAAUUUGCAGUGCUCUCAGAACCAGAGGGUGGAGUCCUGUCCAUACAAGAAAUUCUUCUCUACAGGAAUGAGCUACAUCCAAAAUCUUUAUAUAAUGUGCUUUUUUGGGGUUUAAAUUUUCCUGCUCAUGUUUUAUGGUUUUCCACUUGUUUUGAUCCAGAAUUUAAAAUUAAAUAGGGAAAUAUAAGGAAGGAACUAUCCUCUCUCUUGGAACCAGUUCUGCUCUAGGUGCUUCUGAAAAUUUUAUUCAUAAUAUGUGGUGGAAGAUUUCUUUGUGACUAAUCUUUCAUAAGAAGCCAUCACAGAAAGAUCCAUUGUAGAGUUUGCAUUUGUUUAGGGAACGCUAUUCUUUCAUUCGUGUUGUGAUAACAAUUGUUCUUCUGUUCAAGUUUGCAGAAAACUAAUUUUACAAAUGAUGCUUUCACAUGUGCAGGAUGAGUUUCUUUCCCCUUGGGUGAUUUGAAGCUACACAGAUGAGAGAGUCUUAUCACUUCCUGCUGAGUGCCCUCUUCUCUGGGACAAAACAGCCUGUUCUUUUUUCCUUCUGGCUUUCUGGGCUUUGUACCUUGCUCAGGUAAAGAAUGAAACAAUUUUUAUUAUGUCACUUUCUUCUCUUCCAAGAUGUACUUUUUAGGAAGUUACCAUUUAAUUUCUCUUGGUCUUCAAAUGUAGUUGUGGGGAUUGAAAGUCCCCACAGACUUCUUAAUGGACCAGCCUAACAGACUCACCUGUAAUGCCCAGAUGUUCAUGUCACAGAGAUGUCAGAUGAAUACAUAAUCUGUCCAUUCAAAAGAGUUUUAGUAUCUGCUAGAGAAGCAGAAGUACUUCUGUCCCAAAAAAUAUUCAGGCACCUCAUGAAUUAUAAGCAUUUCUGGAGCAACGUUAGUGCAGAAACUUUUCUCCAACAGCAAAAAAUGAAUCACAGCAACAAAACACCCCUAAAAGCAAAAUCUGUUCCUCCUCUGCCCCCACCAAAAUAUCACCAACAGUAUAAAAUUGUCCAGGCCUUUUCCUUUCCCAGUUAGUGGAAUCUACUUGUAUCCCCAUGGCCCUGUAAUAACACAUUGCUAGUGCUAGUAGCAGGCUGUCAGUUUUGUGUUGAGUUUGCAAGGCCUCAGAUAUGUCUUUAUUCUGUUUGAACUUUUCUUGACCCCCCUGCAGCUUUGUUUUGCUUGGUUUAGCUGAAACUGCAAUUUUUCUAAUGACCAGAUGGCUAUGGCUAAUUUGUUUUAUUUCUGUUUAUCUUUUUAUGCUACCACCAUGGUUUUAUAACUCUAAUUCAAUGUGAUAUAGAGAAAUGCAGCCCUGCUAAGACAAGAGAGGCCUUAAGAAGUGGGGAUAUGGGAUGUGGAGGAAUGGGGCUACAAGAGAUGGGACUGUCACUGGAGACUGCAUGGCUAUCAAUAAGUCGCUCAGGGUCACUUAAAAAAAUAAGGACCCAGAGAUAGAUGAAACCAGGUUUAGGGGUAAAAGAGGGAAUCAUGUCUAAGGCAUGAGGAAGGUAUAGUAUCUGAUACAUUUGGAUGCAUUGCAGAGAUUCAGUCCAACUAUAAAAAAAGAACAAAUGUACAAUUGUGCAAAGAAGCACAUCAAAAUGACCACAAGUGGAUCCUAAAGUCAAAAAGAAGAAACAGCAAUCACCAACAUGUUCCUCCUGGCAAAAGUUCCAGAUGCUGACAGCUCUGCAUAACCCCUGCCACACACACCACCAGGAUGAAACCACUCACCUUCAGUCCCAGCAGAGAGGGAGAUGUGUGAGCAUAACAGCAGGGAAAAUGACAGAAACUCAGGUGUAUGUAUGACAGUCUCAAGCACAGAAUUAUUAGUGCUGAAACUUCUCCUGCAUAGAAACAUUCUCUCUUUUUCCAGACUAAUUAGAUGAGGGCUGAUAAUGAUUAAGCAACAAAGAUUUUAUUAUGCUAACGAUAAACUCUUGGCUUUGUAUUUAAGACAUGUUUACUGUUUGCCCAUAAAAAUUAUUCUGAGAGUAAUGCACUUUCACAAUCAUUUGCCAUAAUCUAUCGAUGUCUGGAAGAUGCACUUCAUAACUAGUUUAGGCUGAUGAGAGAAAAUAAAAAGGAUGUUCCUAAUCCCCUUUGUCUAGUACUCAUGGCUGGAUAUUUCUCCCUUUUCAGUGGAACUGUGUUCUCUGAUAGAGCUGAAAAUGCCUCUAGUCUAAAUCUAAUUGCACUCACACAAAGAGUAGUACAAUUCACUGAUAUUUUCACUAACAACAGCGUUAAUAGAAGGUAGCUGAGGCACUACUGUAUUUCAGGGCUACAAGGUUACAGCUGCCUCAGUUUCCUGUGCUAAAAUUGUAAGAUUUAGCCCCAAAAUGCUACUGGGUGAAACCUCUUGGAUGCAGGUGCAGUUUACAUGCACACAUUUGGAAUUGCGUGGCUGCAAAAUUCGCGGCAAACAUUAUAAAUUUUGGUGACUGAAGAAGGACAAAGAGAGAAGGCAGGAGCUGGGGUGGGAAUGAGCCUUAUAAAGCAGCUUUACCAUCCAAAAAGGUGCACGGGUGCACCACAGACUCGCUGCUUGCUGCUCAUUAUGUGUAAUUCCCUUCUUCCAGGGAGUUCAGUUAUCCACUGGGAGAGCAGUGAGAUGCAAUUUUUCAGUCAUCCAAUCAGGGAACAUAUGAUUUCAGGGGCACAGCACAGUUUAGGGAAGAACAGAGAAUGAGCAGCUGAAGUGAAUAAUUCACAAGUUAUCCAUAGGCCACAAUUUGUUUGUAUAAACUAUUUGGUAAAUUCUUAUGCAUAACCAUCAUAUUCAUAGUAUUCAGGAAUGGCUUGGGAACAAAGGCCAAGCCUCUUGAAUAAUUUAUUCCCCAGGAAUUAUUCAGAUAGCUCCCGUGUAUUCCCUGGAGCCUUCUCAGUGGCACAAUACCAAAAGGCACCGUGCAUUAAGUGGAAGUUGGCUGUGCCCCAAGCAGGACGGAGUGAGAGGGCUUGGAGCACAACCUGCAAUGUCUGGAGAAAACCUUGUCUCCCUCCCAGCUGAGCUGCAGACAGCAAGGCACAGCUGUGCUGUGUGCCAGUCUUCAGGGUUUAAAGUACAGCCACAACCUGGUGAAAUCAGUGCUGAAGCAGUAUGUGAUGGUGACAGAAGUUUAAAAUACAAAACAAAAAAAAAAACCCACCAAAAUAACAAGCAAAAAAACCCCAAUAACAAUCCCCCCAAACAAAGAAAAUCAUAACAAAACCAAAAUAAGCAACAAGAACCAGCCAAAAAUGUAGAGAAUUUUGGAGAAAACACAACUUGAAAAGAAAUAAAAUUCUCCUGCUCUGUAUCAUGAAGAACACCUAAUUAUGUUGUUUUAAUCUUUUCUCCUCAUAUUAUUUUAAAGAUGCCUAUUUUCUGAGAGCUACUUCAUUUAUUUCUUCUGCUCAUAUUAAUAUUUGAGACCUUAUCUUCCCCAGUUUCCAUGAGGAUUCCUAUAAAUGGUGAGAGAACAAUAGCAAUCAAAUUUUGAGAUCUCAGGCACUGAAAACAAGAUUACUUUGCUGGAUUUUGCUUGAACAUUGUGAAAUGUUGCCCUCAUUUUCAUAGUUGGGGGAUUCUUACUGCUGUAAUUUAUUUACCAGACCACAGUCAAGCAUGUGUGUAGGAAACACAAAGAGAAAUUUUCCUUUUCUUCAAGUUUAAUAUUAUGGCAAUAAAUUUCUUUUUGUUUCCACUGACCAAAGACAGUUUGGGUAAGUGCCCUCUUGAUUGCAUCUGCUAGCAGAAGAGAUAUUCCCUCUUCAUUAGAACAGGGGCAGUUUUAUCAUUAAUUUAAAUGUAUUGAUUUUAUUUUUUUGUACAACAGAUGCUUAAUUUCAGUCAGGCUUUUCAGAUUUUGAAUGCCCACAAGGAAAUGAUAAUAAAGUUUCCCUUUUCCUGAUGGUUUCUUUAGGGAGUAUUUCCUUUCUGCCUAUUACAGAAAAGGGUUAUUUUUCUUCCUCACUGAAUUUUUUCUGAGUAAAAAGCCAUCCUUGGCUACAAGUAAAAAAAAAAAAUCACAACUGAAAAACAUUUCCUCACAAUCAGUCUAUUAAAAUGCACCUUGCACCUUCACAAAAGGAGAGCUUCUGAACCAUGAUGAAUAGGCCUUGAUUUUACAGGUCUAAGUGAUAUUUGAGCCACAGUCAUUCCUAACUUGCUUGUUUUUCAUUCGGGUUGUAACUAUCCAGGUUCCCAUAAAACAGCCAAACUACAGCCAAAAAAGGUUUCCACAAGUAGAGUCACUAGAAUAUUUAAAUUUCAGAGACAAGACGAGGAAAUAAACAGAGAAUUUGGGAAAGUGUUCAAGGCCAGAUUGGUUGGGGCAUGGUCUGGUGGAAGAUGACCCUGUCCAUUUAAAUGAGUUUUAAGGUCCUUUCUAGAGCAAACCUGUUCUAUAAAUCUAUGAUUUUGAGACAAACCAUACCUUUAAUGUGUAAUUUGGUUUGGUUUAGUAAACCAAAGCAUUCACUAUUUGUCUUCAUUCUGUAUGCAUUUGGGGACUGGUUAGGGUGUUGGGGUUUUGGGACUUCCUUUUUGUAUGGUUGUGGAGGGUUUUUUUCAUGCCUCCCUGCUGGUUUGCUUUGCAAUGUGAUAAUAUUUCAGCAUAAAUCGUUAUUUUGAAACAGCAUUUCAGCACUUUAAGGUUAAAAAAUGUGCAUUGUUGUGGCUCAGGGAAACUCUUCUGUCUCUUUCAGGAGAGCCUGAAGCAACUAUUUGUUGUUUGCCAAAAUCACAAAUUAAAUUGUU